AUUAAGUGGAGCUCUGGAACCACUCAAAAAACGGGUGUAAUCGAAAAACCAAAAGAGUAGAAAAAAA
rfam:Bacteroidetes bacterium GWE2_29_8 gwe2_scaffold_5662, whole genome shotgun sequence.